GACGUAGGGCGCGAGCGUUGUCCGGAUUUAUUGGGCGUAAAGAGCUCGUAGGCGGUUUGUCGCGUCGGCCGUGAAAUCUCCACGCUUAACGUGGAGCGUGCGGUCGAUACGGGCAGACUUGAGUUCGGUAGGGGAGACUGGAAUUCCUGGUGUAGCGGUGAAAUGCGCAGAUAUCAGGAGGAACACCGGUGGCGAAGGCGGGUCUCUGGGCCGAUACUGACGCUGGAGGAGCGAAAGCGUGGGGAGCGAACAGG
rnacentral:rRNA from 1 species